CAGGCACUUCCCAGCAUGGCACGGAGGAGGAAGGACUAGAAGGCAUGGGGGAACGGAAGAGGUGAGUUCAGAUAUUUAAAGGGUCAGGAUUGGUGUUUUGAACAUGGUUUUAGAUUUUAGCAUUUUCCCAUGUUAUAAAAUCCUUCCAGGCUGGGCUCCAGCGGCUCACACCUGUAGCCCUCGCUCCUUUAGGAUGCUGAGGUCUGAGGAUUCUGGUUUGAAGCCAGCCCAGGCAGGCAACUCUUACCAGGUUCCAUUCUCCAAUUGACCACCGAGAAGCUGAAAGUGGAGGUGUGAUUCAAGUGGUACAGCACUGAUGUUGUGCAAAGAAAAACUCAGGGAUAGUGCCCAGGCUGAGUUCAAGCCCUAAAACCAGCACAACAAAUUGAAACUAUUUUUUUGAAAUCUGAGGUUCUUAGGGUUGUAGGAUGCACUACCAUGUGACUACACGGUACUGUUUCACCAAUUCCAUUAUCACUUUAAGUGAUGAUGUUAUAUAUUCAUGCUUAAUGUGUAAACCAUAUACCACAAAUUACUUCCUUAAAAUAGAUUGCUGUAACAGGAUGGAUUUCUGUGUAAAUGGGCAUUAAUUUGCUGGAGGAUACAGGUGUACAGUAUGUGAUUAUUUUUCUUAUUUACAUACCUAUCACAGCAUGGGGAGUCCAGUUGUACACAUAAGUGUUAGCUAUUAUACGUUUCGCUUUUACCAACAUGGAGUAAAUUUACUUAUAUUUCUAGAAUCAUUAUUGAUGUUGAACAAUGUUCUAUGUUACUGUUAUUUUAACUAGUCUUAAUUUAGAAAGCUCUCAUAAGGCUGUUAAAAAAUUUCCAUUGUAAGACAAAAUUCAAUGAAAAAAUAAGCUCUAUGUCAGAAAACAAUCACUGAUAUGUUUCUUGCAUUUCUGACUGGAAAUGUUGUAUUACAUAUAUUCAGCCUAUAAUCCCCUCCUGUUUUUAGACCACUAUUUGAAUAAGGAUGAUCUAAUAGAAAGGGAACUGUAGUUUGAACUUGGGGCCUUGCCCUCCUGCUUAUUAGCUUUUUUUGCUGGUCUGAUGCUUUACUACUUGAGCUAUACCUCCACUUGUGACUUUUUUGCUGGUUAUUUGGAGAUAAGGGUCUCUUGUGUUUUCAUUUGCCUGGGUUAGCUUUUAAUUGAGAUCCUCAGAUCUCUUCAUGAUUUUAUAUGCUGAUAAAGUAUCCCCAAACUGAUGUUUAAAAAUAAAACCAGUACCACAAAUAACUUGAUCUUGUUAUUUCUGUAUUUGAAGUUUUUAAAUCAUAUAAUGGAUGUGUAAAUACAUUUCAUGUAGGUAUUUUUGGGAAAUUCAUCAUGACUAUCUUAGGAUAUUAAGCAUAGAAUCUUUUAUGUAUUAAAUAUCCAGAAUGUGUGUAUUACACGAUGCAUGUGCUUUCCUGUCUUGUUCCCUUUAUUUAUUUAUUAUUAUUUUAUUAUGCCAGUCCUAGGGCUUGAAUCUCAGGGCCUGUGUGCCCUCCCUCAGCUUUUUUGCACAAGGCUAGUGCCCAACCACUUGAGUCAUCAUUCCACUCUGGCUUUUCUCCUCCUUUUUCCGUCCUCCACUGUAACUGUGACUGCCCAGGACCAGCUUUUCCGAAGGUAUUGUUCAUUUCCCAAGUGACUGUUGUCAGGAACUUAAAUUUUGUUUAUGCUGUACCCCAUAUGUUUAAGAUACUUCUCAGCUCAGGGCUCUAUAAAAUAAACUGUUCAUCGCAUAGCACAGUUGCACCAGAGAUGCAUUGGAGGUUGAAAACUGUGCUAGAUCACAGAAGGUACACUUCAUGGAUUAUGAUUUCACAAAAUAGCCCGUCUCCACAGCUUGGUUCUCUUAUAGUUCACUCUUGUGGAUCCUGGGGGAAGUCAGCAAACAGAACGAAAAAAUACUGAUGCUUUAUCAAUUUUAGCAAAGUUACUAGCAUUCAUUAUAAAAGGCAUUUAACAUAUUGCUGUUUAGACUCCUUUUGAGCUUAAUUUCAAAUCCCGUUGUUGAAUUGGAGUUGGGCAUCCUGCCCAGCCCAGGUAGGCCUGCUAAGGAGACCUGUAUUUUCUGUCUGUGACAUGUGAGUCAGUUGUCCUCAGGUGUAUCACUUUAUAGCCUCUUAGUUUAUGGCCUGCGUGUGACAGCUGUUGUGACUCACCUACAAGGAGACAGAAUGAAUACAUUUGCACGUUCCAGAAAUUGGAGAGCUAGAGGAAUUAUGGUGUGAAGCAUACCAAAAGUAGAAAUUAAAGAAUGAAGACCAAUCUGCAGUCACUAGUGUAUUGAAUUGUAUUCUACUUUUGUGCAUACUACAAUAUGCCUGUUGUGUAGUUGUACAGCUAUGCUCUCUUACCAUUUAUAUCCUUAUCUACUGAAUGAAAUAAGAGUUUGAGAUAGUCAUCUAUUAGAUGCAUGUUCCAAAAUGAUCACUAUUAGAAAUAUGCCCUCUACCAGGGGUGUGCAUAUUCAUCUACAUGUGUACAGAAAGCGCGCACACACCACUUGCUCUUUGAAAUGAACUACCAAUUUCCAUACUGUUGUUGAGGUAAUGAGUAUACCUAUAAAAACUGCGUUGCAACGUACGUAACCAGUGUUCACAGACCCCAUGCUAGUUCUCAUGUCAGUCUGGCCCCACUGGACCUGUUUCGCCUUCAACAAACACAGGGUAGAAAUGCAGGUUUACCAUGGUUUGUUUCAGUUCUGGAAAUUCUAUACAAUUCUCAACAGCUAGUGUCUUGUUACUCUUCCAAGGAAGUGAAAUUUGGUCACAUUUUAAUAUUUAUCUUCUGCUGUGUUUUAUGUGAAACACUGUGAAGACUCCUUUCUUUCUUACCUCAGUGUACACCCUUUAACAUCUGAUCAUCUAAGAAUUGAUUGUUUCAUUCAGUUAAUAUGCUUGGUUCAUUUUUUGUGUACUAUGCAUGUCCAUAGUGUCCAAGUCCAUUGGACUUGUCUUUGGCUGUUUAUCACUUGACAACAUGUUGAGUAGCAAGUUGCUGAAGAUUGUGUCUGGCCUAACAUUGUUGGCCAGGGCUACCUGGUUGGU